rnacentral:rRNA from 1 species
GUGGGGAAUAUUGGACAAUGGGGGGAACCCUGAUCCAGCCAUGCCGCGUGUGUGAAGAAGGCCUUUUGGUUGUAAAGCACUUUAAGCGAGGAGGAGGCUACUCUAGUUAAUACCUAGGGAUAGUGGACGUUACUCGCAGAAUAAGCACCGGCUAACUCUGUGCCAGCAGCCGCGGUAAUACAGAGGGUGCGAGCGUUAAUCGGAUUUACUGGGCGUAAAGCGUGCGUAGGCGGCUUUUUAAGUCGGAUGUGAAAUCCCUGAGCUUAACUUAGGAAUUGCAUUCGAUACUGGGAAGCUAGAGUAUGGGAGAGGAUGGUAGAAUUCCAGGUGUAGCGGUGAAAUGCGUAGAGAUCUGGAGGAAUACCGAUGGCGAAGGCAGCCAUCUGGCCUAAUACUGACGCUGAGGUACGAAAGCAUGGGGAGCAAACAGGAUUAGAUACCCCUGUAGUAC